AGAGUUUGAUCCUGGCUCAGAUUGAACGCUGGCGGCAGGCCUAACACAUGCAAGUCGAACGGUAACAGGAAGCAGCUUGCUGCUUUGCUGACGAGUGGCGGACGGGUGAGUAAUGUCUGGGAGACUGCCUGAUGGAGGGGGAUAACUACUGGAAACGGUAGCUAAUACCGCAUAACGUCGCAAGACCAAAGAGGGGGACCUUAGGGCCUCUUGCCAUCGGAUGUGCCCAGAUGGGAUUAGCUAGUAGGUGGGGUAACGGCUCACCUAGGCGACGAUCCCUAGCUGGUCUGAGAGGAUGACCAGCCACACUGGAACUGAGACACGGUCCAGACUCCUACGGGAGGCAGCAGUGGGGAAUAUUGCACAAUGGGCGCAAGCCUGAUGCAGCCAUGCCGCGUGUAUGAAGAAGGCCUUCGGGUUGUAAAGUCUUUUUCAGCGGGGAGGAAGGGAGUAAAGUUAAUACCUUUGCUCAUUGACGUUACCCGCAGAAUAAGCACCGGCUAACUCCGUGCCACCAGCCGCGGUAAUACGGAGGGUGCAAGCGUUAAUCGGAAUUACUGGGCGUAGAGCGCACGCAGGCGGUUUGUUAAGUCAGAUGUGAAAUCCCCGGGCUCAACCUGUGAACUGCGUCUGAUACUGGCAAGGUUGAGUCUCGUAGAGGGGGGUAGAAUUCCAGGUGUAUCGGUGAAAUGCGUAUAGAUCUGGAGGAAUACCAGUGGCGAAGGCGGCCCCCUGUACGAAGACUGACGCUCACGUGCAAGAGCGUGGGGAGCAGACGCGAUUAGAUACCCUGGUAGUGC
rnacentral:rRNA from 1 species